GAAUAUUGGACAAUGGGCGCAAGCCUGAUCCAGCCAUGCUGCGUGGGUGAUGAAGGCCCUAGGGUUGUAAAGCCCUUUCGGCGGGGAAGAUAAUGACGGUACCCGCAGAAGAAGCCCCGGCUAACUUCGUGCCAGCAGCCGCGGUAAUACGUAGGGUGCGAGCGUUAUCCGGAAUCAUUGGGCGUAAAGAGCUCGUAGGCGGUUCAGCAAGUCGGCUGUGAAAGUCUGAGGCUCAACCUCAGAAUUGCAGUCGAUACUGCUGUGACUCGAGUCCGGUAGAGGAGAACGGAAUUCCCGGUGUAGCGGUGAAAUGCGCAGAUAUCGGGAGGAACACCAGUAGCGAAGGCGGUUCUCUGGGCCGGCACUGACGCUGAGGAGCGAAAGCGUGGGGAGCAAACAGG
rnacentral:rRNA from 1 species